UACAGGGGGUGCAAACGUUGCUCGGAAUUAUUGGGCGUAAAGCGCGCGUAGGCGGCCACUUAAGUCGGAUGUGAAAGCCCCUGGCUCAACUGGGGAAGUGCACCCGAAACUGAAUGGCUUGAGUGCGAAAGAGGGUCGCGGAAUUCCCGGUGUAGAGGUGAAAUUCGUAGAUAUCGGGAGGAACACCGGUGGCGAAGGCGCUGGGCUGGACGGUCAUUGACGCUGAGGUGCGAAAGCGUGGGGAGCAAACAGG
rnacentral:rRNA from 1 species